rnacentral:rRNA from 1 species
CCUACGGGUGGCAGCAGUGAGGAAUAUUGGUCAAUGGACGAGAGUCUGAACCAGCCAAGUAGCGUGAAGGAUGACUGCCCUAUGGGUUGUAAACUUCUUUUAUAUGGGAAUAAAAUGUUCCACGUGUGGGAUUUUGUAUGUACCAUAUGAAUAAGGAUGGGCAAACUCCGUGCCAGCGGCCGCGUUAAUCCGGGGGAUCCGAGCUUUAUCCGGAUUUAUUGGGUUUAAAGGGAGCGUAGGUGGAUUGUUAAGUCAGUUGUGAAAGUUUGCGGCUCAACCGUAAAAUUGCAGUUGAAACUGGCAGUCUUGAGUACAGUAGAGGUGGGCGGAAUUCGUGGUGUAGCGGUGAAAUGCUUAGAUAUCACGAAGAACUCCGAUUGCGAAGGCAGUUCACUGGACUGCAACUGACACUGAGGCUCGAAAGUGUGGGUAUUAAACAGGAUUAGAUACCCUUGUAGUC